CUGAGGAACAGGAAGGGGAGAUGUGAGGGAAAUAAGUGUCUGUUGCAUAAACCUUGCUAGAGCUUUUAUCCUGUUACAGGGUUGUAGGCAGCUUGCAGCUUCUCUAACAAAAUAAUCUGGCCUGCUGGGAAGUAUUCGUGAAGGACAAGAAGGGAGACGGGGAAAGGUUAAGAAGGAGCCAGUAUCUCCAGGAGGAGUCAGAGAGCGCUCUGCCAGUGUGAAGUGUAAAUUCUUGAGAGGCUGUGGCAAGGGUCCAUGCCUGAAUGUAUAGAGCAAGAACAGCUGGAGACUGUGGCUUUCUCCAGGAAGAGGUUUCUAAAUUUGCCUCUUAGAAGAUACCAGAAAGUUCCAGAUGCCAGUGUGAUACAUCUAAAGCCAGAUCUGACCUUCUCACUUUCUUGCUUAAAACCAUCAACAAUAUUUCUUUCUGUAGAGCUGGGAUGUAACCUCAACUGUCUUGAGAGCCAGGUAGGUAAAAUAAUUGAUAGAGACAAGCAGAUCAUAAGAAAAUCAAUUUUGUUGGUGUAUUAGUUAUCUACUGCUGUGUAACAAAUUGCCCCACAAACUUAGCAGCUUAAAACAACAAAUGCUCAUUUCUUGUAUGGUUUCUGAGGGUCAGGAAUCUGGGAGCAGCUUAGCUGAAUGGUUCUGGCUCAGGUCUUUCAUGAGUUUGCAGUCAAGAUGUUGAUGGGGGCUUCAAUCAUCUGAAUGCUAGAAUGGAGCUGGAAGUUCUGCUUCAAAAAGACUCAUUCCCAUGGUGAUUGCUGGAAGCUUCAGUUUGUCACCAUGUGGGCCUCUCCUCACAAAAUGUCAGCUGUUUUCCUCCAGAGCAAGUAAUCUAAGAAAGGCAGAAUGACAGCUAGCCUGGGAAAUGGAAUAACAUCACUUCUGUCAUAUUUCAUUGGCCAAACAUAUCAAACCAGAUACAGUGUGAGAGGGGACUGUACAAGGAUGUGGAUACCAGGAAGAGAGGAUCAGUGGGGACCAGCUUGGAGGCUGACAACAACAGGUAGAUAUUGGACAAAAGGGUGAUAUUUGCUAUUUAACUUCAGCCAAUUGUUCCACUAUGUGGAAAACAGGUCUUAUG
rnacentral:lncRNA from 1 species